GCACAGGAGAUAACAUACACCAAGCUGUGGAUGUGAAAGCAUAACUUCACUAUUUUUUUUUCUUUCUUCAAUCUCUAGGUCAGUGAGUAAAUCCAUCCGUUUUGUACUCUGCUGGCAACGUUGUUUGAAUCGCUGAAGGAGACGGUGUGCUCCUUCCUUGGCCCCAGUGCAGCAGCCUUGGAAGGAGUUCUUUUAAAGAGCCUCCAACAGCAUGAGCAAGCAGCUAACAUUUGCCUUUCCAAUCAUGUACGUUCCGAAAGUACAAGGAGAGGAUGAGACAGGACAGGAAGGAGAGGACCUGGAGGAAAGCCUAGAACAAACACCGGAGGAGCGUGUACAAUUGCUGGAGCAGAACAUGGCUGAGCAGAACAGAGAAGGAGGUUUGGUGGACAAUGGAGACUACAAGGUUUGAGUUCCUGUGGCUUGGAGUAUCAUGAACCACAACUAACUGGCUGAAGUAUGAAAAUUGCUGAAGGGCAUUUUCUAUCACACUUUGGGCAGCUGCACAUGAAAUUGAUGGAAAAUUACCUUUCCAAGGUGAGGAGGAGCUGCUGACUCCCCUGAGGGCAGAGAAGCCUUGCAGGGAGAUGUUGACAAAUGGAAGGACUGGGCAAUCACCAACCACAUGAAGUUCAGCAAGAGCAAGUGCCAGAUUCUGAAUCUGGAAUGGGACAAUUCUGGCUAUAGGUGCAGACUGAGGGAUGAGAGCCCGGAGAGCAGCUCCACGGAAAGUGACCUGGG
ensembl:lncRNA